rnacentral:lncRNA from 1 species
GCCGUCUGACGCCGCUUCGCCUCGUUCCUGCUGGGUUUUCCCCGCCGCUGCCUGAGCAAGAGGAGCAGCGGCCGCGGCAGCAGUGACUGACCGGGCGGUGCGGUGCUCGGUGCCCGCCCAGCGCGGGGUUUCGCCUCACUGCACAGUCAGUGUGUGUCCCUGGUGCCGCAGCCUGACUCAAACCGAGCUUCAAACCCAGCUGCCUGCUUCAAACCGUGAGUGAGACGACAGAGCCGAUGCAACGUUCAUUAUUGACUUGCCCGGGACGUGAGAAGCAAGUGCCUGACAGCCGAGGAUGGUAGACUAGCAAGCAGCGGGGAUUUCCUGUGUUUUGGAAUUUUAACAUCAGCACCACUUGUAAUCUCUAGACAGCUGUGGCUAAAGGCGAAAAUGAAAGUUCUCUACAUGAUAAACCAAAACACUAGGAAUCAGCUAUGAGUAUUUUAAAGGGCUGAGAUUUCAGGAGGUAGUUCUGUUGCUUCAUCUGAUACACAAGUUUGCCUAAAGACACCCUACUUUGUAGUAAUAGGAUUCUGGCUUCCGCCCACCUUCAAAGCACGGAAAUUCAUCUGGAGUAGGAAGCAAACCCUUCCGGCCUCCUGAGCAGUAAGAGAUGCAGGGGACAGGAGUGAGAAGAGACAUUGUCUUCAUCAAAAUACCCUAAUUUGCCCAAGACAUGUCUU